rnacentral:rRNA from 1 species
UACCUGCAGCUCAAGUAGUGAUCGCUAUUAUUGGGCCUAAAACGUUCGUAGCCUGUUCGGUAAGUGCCUGGGUAAAUCGUGUAGCUCAACUAUACGAAUUCCGGGUAGACUGCCAAACUUGAAACCGGGAGAGGCUAGAGGUACUCCUGGGGUAGAGGUGAAAUUCUGUAAUCCUGGGGGGACCACCAGUGGCGAAGGCGUCUAGCUAGAACGGGUUUGACGGUGAGGAACGAAGCCCUGGGGCGCGAACCGGAUUAGAUACCCGGGUAGUCCAGGGUGUAAACGCUGCUUGCUUGAUGUUAAUUGGGCUCCGAGCCCAAUUAGUGUCGGAGAGAAGUUGUUAAGCAAGCUGCCUGGGAAGUACGGUCGCAAGACUGAAACUUAAAGGAAUUGGCGGGGAGCACAGCAACGGGUGGAGCGUGCGGUUU